rnacentral:misc_RNA from 1 species
CUGGUAUGUAAGGUUUUUAAUAUGCUGAGAGCUGGCUUGAAAGCGUUGUUAGUUCCAUCUGGACAACUCAGCCCCGCAUGCUUUUAAUUUUCGAACUGUAAAGAACAUCUGAGACCCUGUUAAUCCAGCCCUUCCCUAAGAUUUGGCCACGCACCCGAUUAUCUAGCCACAUAGCUUCGAACUUGAAUAAACGUUUUGCCCAUUUGGUGGAAAUAUCUGGAAGCAGAACCAUGGGACGAUGAUCAGACCCAACUUGGAGCUCGAACGUACUGCCUUUGAAAACAUUUCACCACAAUCAACAUCAGCUAAGGCUCGUUCAAGCUUCUCUACUACAGCUGAUUGACCAGCUUGCCUGUUG